ACCCCGCGUUUACAUAGGAGGACAUGAAGGCCAGGAAAACCAAGGCACCGGCCGGGGUCACACCGCGGGGCAGACCCAGGGCCUGAGCCCCGCCGCCGCCCCCGGGACUCAUACUGGCCGGAGUCCUCAGCAGGGCCUCACCGUCCCCGCAGGCGCCCCGCGUCGCUGGUGAGCGGGCAACGGCCGCCGACCUCUGGGGACGACACUGCCCAGAAUCGUCCCGGAGCCUGGGAGUCGCCGUCAGGCCUGAGGCUACAGCGGGGCGGACCCAGUGCGCCGCCCACAGCCGAUCGACAUUUCCCAGAAUCAUCCGCGCAGGGGACAAAAUUCCAGGCGCAACGAACCGCAGGUACCGGAAGACCACACUUCCCAGGAGUCUCUGCGGCCGCGCGGACCUGGGGCGCCGCGGGCAAACAGAUCUCGGUUUCCUAAAAAACUAAACCGCCUGGGGCUGUCGUCCCAGAGCCCGGCAGUUAGGACCAUGCGGGAAGUGUCCUGGGGCAUAUAGUCAUACUGAUGAGGUGAAAGAUACACCUCGGAACCAAGGGCCACCCUCUACUUUUAAGGACAAUGGCGCCGGGACCAAGAAACUACACUUCCCAGAAAACCGUGCGGCCGUGGCAAACUCUUCUGGGUCUAGCGUGCGCUCACACUAAUGUUUAUCUCCCGGGACGUGGGCAGACCUUGUACCAGGCGAGCUCUCGCCUUUGCUAGCAAAAGAGCUCCUCUCUUCCCAAACCCUGCUACUACGCUGUCCACCCUGUAUGGUCUUUGAGGUCUUUGAGGUUUUUUUGGAAUUCACUUGCUGGAGACUACAGCUCACAGAACGCCCUGGGCUGGAUUGUGCCAGCUGUAGUUCGCGAACCAAGGACAUUUCCUGGAAAUGCAUGCGGCCACGUAUCUGUGACAGAAAUGGCAGUUCUCACGUGCGUUACGCCCCCUGGAAGGACUUGGAAAUACGGAACUUGAGUGAGCACUGAGAGGACACAGACCCUCAUCCUGGGAGGAGUCACUCCUCCCGCAGCCAUCAGAGCCUGACAACCGCUUCUCACCAGAGGCGCUUCUUAGACCCUGACCUUGCCCGGCUCACCCAAAGGGGCAAUGGCCUUCUUUGUAUGCAAGCCAGACAGUCUACUGUUGUAUAUUUGAAUUUUUUACUUUAUUUUUAAUAUUUUAAUUAAAUUUUAAUUUAAUGCUGCCUCUA
rnacentral:lncRNA from 1 species